GACGAACGCUGGCGGCGUGCUUGACACAUGCAAGUCGAACGGAAAGGCUCCAGCUUGCUGGAGUACUCGAGUGGCGAACGGGUGAGUAACACGUGGGUAAUCUGCCCUGCACUCUGGGAUAAGCCUGGGAAACUGGGUCUAAUACUGGAUAUGACCUUUCUCCUUAUGGGGUUUGGUGGAAAGUUUUUCGGUGUAGGAUGAGCCCGCGGCCUAUCAGCUUGUUGGUGGGGUGAUGGCCUACCAAGGCGACGACGGGUAGCCGGCCUGAGAGGGUGAUCGGCCACAUUGGGACUGAGAUACGGCCCAGACUCCUACGGGAGGCAGCAGUGGGGAAUAUUGCACAAUGGGCGGAAGCCUGAUGCAGCGACGCCGCGUGAGGGAUGACGGCCUUCGGGUUGUAAACCUCUUUCAGCAGGGACGAAGCGUAAGUGACGGUACCUGCAGAAGAAGCACCGGCUAACUAUGUG
rnacentral:rRNA from 1 species